rnacentral:tRNA from 2 species
GGGGAGAUAGCGAAGUGGUUAAACGCAACAGACUGUAAAUCUGUCGGCUCAGCCUUCGAAGGUUCGAAUCCUUCUCUCCCCACCA